rnacentral:rRNA from 1 species
UACGUAGGGUCCGAGCGUUGUCCGGAAUUAUUGGGCGUAAAGAGCUCGUAGGCGGUUUGUCGCGUCUGCUGUGAAAUCCCGAGGCUCAACCUCGGGCCUGCAGUGGGUACGGGCAGACUAGAGUGCGGUAGGGGAGAUUGGAAUUCCUGGUGUAGCGGUGGAAUGCGCAGAUAUCAGGAGGAACACCGAUGGCGAAGGCAGAUCUCUGGGACGGUACUGACGCUGAGACGCGAAAGCGUGGGGAGCGAACAGG